AAGUCGAACGGUAACAGGUCUUCGGAUGCUGACGAGUGGCGAACGGGUGAGUAAUACAUCGGAACGUGCCCGAGAGUGGGGGAUAACGAAGCGAAAGCUUUGCUAAUACCGCAUACGAUCUCAGGAUGAAAGCAGGGGACCGCAAGGCCUUGCGCUCACGGAGCGGCCGAUGGCAGAUUAGGUAGUUGGUGGGAUAAAAGCUUACCAAGCCGACGAUCUGUAGCUGGUCUGAGAGGACGACCAGCCACACUGGGACUGAGACACGGCCCAGACUCCUACGGGAGGCAGCAGUGGGGAAUUUUGGACAAUGGGCGCAAGCCUGAUCCAGCCAUGCCGCGUGCAGGAUGAAGGCCUUCGGGUUGUAAACUGCUUUUGUACGGAACGAAAAGACUCUGGUUAAUACCUGGGGUCCAUGACGGUACCGUAAGAUAAGCACCGGCUAA
rnacentral:rRNA from 1 species